rnacentral:rRNA from 1 species
GAUGAACGCUGGCGGCGUGCUUAACACAUGCAAGUCGAACGAAGCACUUUAACCUGAUUCUUCGGAUGAAGGUUUUUGUGACUGAGUGGCGGACGGGUGAGUAACGCGUGGGUAACCUGCCUCAUACAGGGGGAUAACAGUUAGAAAUGACUGCUAAUACCGCAUAAGACCACGGAGCCGCAUGGCUCAGUGGGAAAAACUCCGGUGGUAUGAGAUGGACCCGCGUCUGAUUAGGUAGUUGGUGGGGUAACGGCCUACCAAGCCAACGAUCAGUAGCCGACCUGAGAGGGUGACCGGCCACAUUGGGACUGAGACACGGCCCAAACUCCUACGGGAGGCAGCAGUGGGGAAUAUUGCACAAUGGGGGAAACCCUGAUGCAGCGACGCCGCGUGAGCGAAGAAGUAUUUCGGUAUGUAAAGCUCUAUCAGCAGGGAAGAAAAUGACGGUACCUGACUAAGAAGCACCGGCUAAAUACGUGCCAGCAGCCGCGGUAAUACGUAUGGUGCAAGCGUUAUCCGGAUUUACUGGGUGUAAAGGGAGCGUAGACGGCUGUGUAAGUCUGAAGUGAAAGCCCGGGGCUCAACCCCCGGGACUGCUUUGGAAACUAUGCAGCUAGAGUGUCGGAGAGGUAAGUGGAAUUCCCAGUGUAGCGGUGAAAUGCGUAGAUAUUGGGACGAACACCAGUGGCGAAGGCGGCUUACUGGACGAUGACUGACGUUGAGGCUCGAAAGCGUGGGGAGCAAACAGGAUUAGAUACCCUGGUAGUCCACGCCGUAAACGAUGACUACUAGGUGUCGGGGAGCAAAGCUCUUCGGUGCCGCAGCAAACGCAAUAAGUAGUCCACCUGGGGAGUACGUUCGCAAGAAUGAAACUCAAAGGAAUUGACGGGGACCCGCACAAGCGGUGGAGCAUGUGGUUUAAUUCGAAGCAACGCGAAGAACCUUACCUGCUCUUGACAUCCCGGUGACCGGCAUGUAAUGAUGCCUUUUCUUCGGAACACCGGUGACAGGUGGUGCAUGGUUGUCGUCAGCUCGUGUCGUGAGAUGUUGGGUUAAGUCCCGCAACGAGCGCAACCCUUAUCUUCAGUAGCCAGCAAUUUGGAUGGGCACUCUGGAGAGACUGCCAGGGAUAACCUGGAGGAAGGUGGGGAUGACGUCAAAUCAUCAUGCCCCUUAUGAGCAGGGCUACACACGUGCUACAAUGGCGUAAACAAAGGGAAGCGAGCCUGCGAGGGUAAGCAAAUCUCAAAAAUAACGUCUCAGUUCGGAUUGUAGUCUGCAACUCGACUACAUGAAGCUGGAAUCGCUAGUAAUCGCGAAUCAGCAUGUCGCGGUGAAUACGUUCCCGGGUCU